rnacentral:rRNA from 1 species
GGUUAAGCGACUAAGCGUACACGGUGGAUGCCCUGGCAGUCAGAGGCGAUGAAGGACGUGCUAAUCUGCGAAAAGCGCCGGCGAGGUGAUAUGAACCUUUGACCCGGCGAUGUCCGAAUGGGGAAACCCAGUGUGUUUCGACACACUAUCGUUAACUGAAUACAUAGGUUAACGAGGCGAACCGGGGGAACUGAAACAUCUAAGUACCCCGAGGAAAAGAAAUCAACCGAGAUUCCCCCAGUAGCGGCGAGCGAACGGGGAGCAGCCCGGAGUCUGAAUCAGCUUGUGUGUUAGUGGAACGGUCUGGAAAGUCCGACGGUACAGGGUGAUAGUCCCGUACACGAAAACACACUUGCUGUGAACUCGAAGAGUAGGGCGGGACACGUGGUAUCCUGUCUGAAUAUGGGGGGACCAUCCUCCAAGGCUAAAUACUCCUGACUGACCGAUAGUGAACCAGUACCGUGAGGGAAAGGCGAAAAGAACCCCGGCGAGGGGAGUGAAAAAGAACCUGAAACCGUGUACGUACAAGCAGUGGGAGCCUCUUUAUGGGGUGACUGCGUACCUUUUGUAUAAUGGGUCAGCGACUUAUAUUCUGUAGCAAGGUUAACCGUAUAGGGGAGCCGAAGGGAAACCGAGUCUUAACUGGGCGUUAAGUUGCAGGGUAUAGACCCGAAACCCGGUGAUCUAGCCAUGGGCAGGUUGAAGGUUGGGUAACACUAACUGGAGGACCGAACCGACUAAUGUUGAAAAAUUAGCGGAUGACCUGUGGCUGGGGGUGAAAGGCCAAUCAAACCGGGAGAUAGCUGGUUCUCCCCGAAAGCUAUUUAGGUAGCGCCUCGUGAACUCAUCUUCGGGGGUAGAGCACUGUUUCGGCUAGGGGGCCAUCCCGGCUUACCAACCCGAUGCAAAC